ensembl:snRNA U6 U6 spliceosomal RNA
GUGCUCACUUUGGCAGCUAUUCUAAACUUGGAAUGAUACAGACAAGAUUAGCAUGGUCCCUUUGCAAAUAUGACAUGCAAUUCCUGAAGUGUUCCAUAUAUUG